rnacentral:rRNA from 1 species
UACGAAGGGGGCGAGCGUUGUUCGGAUUUACUGGGCGUAAAGGGCGCGUAGGCGGCCUACCAAGUCAGGCGUGAAAGCCCCGGGCUCAACCUGGGAGGUGCGCUUGGGAACCUGGUAUGCUGGAGUUCGGGAGAGGAGCGUGGAAUUCCCAGUGUAGAGGUGAAAUGCGUAGAUAUGCGGAGGAACACCGAUGGCGAAGGCAAUCCCCUGGACCUGUACUGACGCUCAUGGCACGAAAGCGUGGGGAGCAAACAGG